UGGGGAAUAUUGCACAAUGGGCGCAAGCCUGAUGCAGCAACGCCGCGUGCGGGAUGACGGCCUUCGGGUUGUAAACCGCUUUUAGUAAGGAAGAAGGGGAGCUUGCUCCUUGACGGUACUUGCAGAAAAAGGACCGGCUAACUACGUGCCAGCAGCCGCGGUAAUACGUAGGGUCCGAGCGUUGUCCGGAAUUAUUGGGCGUAAAGAGCUCGUAGGCGGUUUGUCGCGUCUGCUGUGAAAUCCCGAGGCUCAACCUCGGGCCUGCAGUGGGUACGGGCAGACUUGAGUGGUGUAGGGGAGACUGGAAUUCCUGGUGUAGCGGUGGAAUACGCAGAUAUCAGGAGGAACACCGAUGGCGAAGGCAGGUCUCUGGGCACUUACUGACGCUGAGGAGCGAAAGCGUGGGGAGCGAACAGGAUUAGAUACCCUGGUAGUCCACGCCGUAAACGUUGGGCGCUAGAUGUGGGACCUUUCCACGGUUUCCGUGUCGUAGCUAACGCAUUAAC
rnacentral:rRNA from 1 species